CAUAGGUCCCGGAGAAGGAGCAGAUUCCAUUGCGGAUGGCGGCAUCGGCGGAGAAGCCAUAUCGGGAACUGAUAAUGGGCUUGGGCUUGGGCCCAUAGGAGUAGUUGGUUGGGCCAUUGGGCUUGAAGAUGGAGUCAUUGGCAUCAUAGGUGGUGGAGUCAUGGGCAUUGGUGGUGGAGCCAUGGGCAUAGGUGGUGGAGUCAUAGGCAUAGGUGGUGGAGCCAUAGGCAUAGGUGGUGGAGUCAUCAUUGGCAUCGGAGAGCUGCGGCCGCUAGACAUCGGCGGCAUCGACAUUGAGCCAGAAGGAGCCAUCAUGGGAGAUUGAGCUAAAGAGAAAUGAAUUAAAACCAUAGGCAAUGUGACCAAAAGGAGGGCUUGUGAAGAGGCCAUGGUUAUGUGUGUUGAAUAGUGGGUGUUAUGUAAAGUGAUAUAUAGAGAGAGGUAUGUGAGUUGUAAAAGAAUGGGAGAGAAAAGUGAAGGUUCUUUGUGCUAUUGGGGAUAUAUAUUAGAGAUUAUUUGUUUUUAUUUUUGGACCGUUGGAUAUAGUGUGUGACACGUAUCAGUCGAUAGAUAGGUAUGAGAUGCUGAUUUAUUUUCCUCCACAUGUUGAAAAAAAAAAAGAGAUAGAAGAAAAUUCCAAAGUGAAAUUUCUUUGUAGGUACAGAUAGAAUAAUCAAUACACAUGAAAAUGGGACUAUUAUGAUUAUAAUGCAUUUUAUUUUCAUUCUUUAGUGGAACCAUCAAUCGGAUUCACGGGUUGGUUUUUAAGGGGGCCAUAUAUCAAAAUUAUUAGGAAUGUCAUUUAAUGGUGUUUGUUAGUCAUUAAUAUGCUAAAACGAUGAAAUUUUGAAAUGUUAGUAGACUUUUAUAACCAAGUCAAGAUAUAAUUUCAUCAGAAAAAAACAAUUUAUAUGGAAAAGGAUAAAAGACCAUAAUGCUAUGGUACAAGAGAAAAGACAAAUAGGGACCAUUUGUGUUGCAUUUGGUCACACAGGCCUAAUAAGCUCCACGGCCAAUAUUAUGUCCGCACCCACUAACCGACAUUUUUGGUUACCCCAUACUCUUUUCUUUUUUCCUCUCACGAGUACUCUUUGUCCCUCAUUUACUAUUUAUCCAUCUUUUAAAUUAUACUUUUUAAAACAAACAUGUAACAUGUUCUAUACAUAUAUAUAUAUACUUUGAUUUCGUUGUUUUAUUGUACAUUUCUUCAGCUCGUUUGAAUUUAACCGUUAUGAUCGUCCCUUGAUCAAAUGUAUUCUCUCAACUCAUUAGUUCAGGAUCCAGGAAAAUUAGAUGAAAUAGACAAAUAGUACAUGCAUCACUUGAAGUAACUAUAAUUACUAUACCGUUAAAGUAGUUGUAUAGAGAUUUCAAUAUUAUAACGUUAGGGCUCUAAAUAUAUGGGCUCAUUAUAAAUGGGCAUGUAGUCGCAUGAGGCCGAAUCCCAGCUGGCAGAGAAAUGAGCGGGAAAUUUUAUGUACAAAAUGCUCGAAACAAUGUCACACGUAGCGCACGUGCCAUUCUCCCGCCCGUUUCUCCAUUUUCCCCAAAUCUCAAAUUCUCAAUCCCUAGUUUCUCUCUCUCCCCAGAUUCACAGCAUUUGCAUUUUGCAAUGUCUGAAGACUCGGAACCGCGUCAACUCGGGAGAUCGACCGCCGGCGGAGAGCUAAUAGGUCUUGGUCUCACUGAGUCAGACGGCGAGGAGCAUUUCUAUCACCAGAAAGCUUUGGAGUUAUGUCGUCACCUACUCUUCGUUGGCCACUCAGAACUAGUUACAGAUCUUUCUUCACAAUGUACACACUUCCAAGCUUCGCCUGAGCUCGUCAAAGUUCUUUGCUCGAUUCCUAAUUCCCCUGUCUCCCUUACCGGAGACGGCUUAUCCGUGACUCUCUCGCGCGAGUUGCUCUCCGAUCCGGCCUGUUUCGCCUGUAGUUUGGGUGUGCCGGAAAAUGUUUUGUUUGAACAGAUUACGCGUUUCUCGGAUCCGAGAGCUCCCAAGCCUAAGCGAAAUGGUCUCGGGCAUAUGGGAGGUACUAACUUAGCACUUGUUUCAUUUUAGUCGUUAUCUGGCAUCUGAUUUUGUUGUUUAGUAGUCACACUUACAUAGAGAUUCUCUUCUUGAUUAUGGAUUAUUAUGAAAAAUUUCAGAAAAUGAGGAGCAAGAAGAGCUGCAGCUCAUGCCAUUGCCCAAAAGAAGCCGAAAGGAGGAACCAGAUGUAAGUAAUCUCUUUUAACAAAAAGAUGAAUUUCUCAAGGUAUAAUUCAAUUUCAAAAAUGGGGAGUUGAUUCAUUGAUUUUUUUUUUUCUAGGUGAAUGACUACUCUGUAAUGGAUAGCAGAGCUAACGACAUGACAAAUAUUGCCAAUGGGUCCAUGCUUGAGACACUGAAAGCUUUUGAAUCCCAAGCUUCGCUUUUAGUUUUAGGUAGAGAUGGUCGAGAAAUAGGAGCAUUUGACCAAAGUCCUUGGUCUGGUCCACGGACUAGAAUUUUUGGAUGCGAGAUUUUCUCCAAUGCUUGUGUGGAUGUCGAUCCUAUGCACUGCUUGGGGGAACGCAAGCAAGAUUCGCCAUCUCCUCGAGAGGUUGGAUACUGUAAGCAAAUUGAGAUUGAAGAUUUUCAAAUUGUUGAUAACCUAAGAUUAUUCGAAGACGAUGAGGAUAAAAACGAGAAGGAUUUGUUCCAUAAGGGGGAGAUACGAACUCCCGAUGUGCAGUCCGAUCCUGCUGCCCCUUCGAUGCCAUCAGAAAAUGAGUUAAAAUCUGUAUAUAUUGUAGAGGACACUGAAGAUAUGCUUGCCUUGAGUUGUAACCCAUUAAAGCAAGAGGACAACGCUGUAGACAUCUUCAGCACCCCUGUCAAAGAGCUGCCUUUGAUGCCUUCUGCAACAAUAGCUAAUCAAGAUAGAUCCUUGGUACAGAAAACACAGGAUCUGUGCAAAUUAUCGGGAAACAGCAAAGGUUACAGCUGUUCCCCUGAGAAAAAACACACCAGGAAAUGUAAAGCUAUCCAGAGGUCAAAGCAGAAUCUUAACUCCGUUCGACCUAAAGAUCAGAAGGUAGACAUUUCUUUUUUAUCUAGAGUGAGCCCCUUGCAAUUCCGUUUUUUUAUUUAUUUAAACAGCUUUCCAUGUUGCUGAAAGUACUUUUAUACCAACAUUGAGGAUUAAUCCACUAUAUUAAGAUUUCUCAUAUCUGUUGUUUAGGAUGAGUCAAAACAGAACACUUUUCCAGUUUUUGAUUCUUACACUAUUGUAGAGGAAGAAGGCUCAGGUACAUUUUCCUUACAAUUUCAUCUAUAUUCCUGAUUUUGUUGAAACAGCUUAAUUGGUUAUCGGCUAAUGAUUGGUGAAAUCCAACUGUAGGUGGCUACGGGAUUGUUUAUAAGGCAAAGAGGAAAACCGAUGGAAAAGAGUUUGCCAUUAAAUGUAUGAAACAGAAUGAUAUGUUGCUAGAUUUUUUCACUUCGUCACAUCGUUUUUGGUUGGCAAUUUGGUCUCAUGUGUUUUCCAUACAGGUCCCCAUGCUGGUGCUCAGAAAUACUAUGUUAAUAAUGAACUCCGAAUGCUGGAGCGUUUUGGGUAAGUAACAAAGUUUGAUCCGCUAAUGAACCUCCUACAUAUUUAAACCCAAAUAUCUGAAAUUGCCUAAAUGUUGGUUCACUUAGGGGGAAAAACUUUAUAAUAAAGUUUGAAGGCUGUCUUAAGAACGGAGAUUCCGAUUGCAUGAUCCUUGAGCACCUUGAACAUGACAGACCUGAUUGUUUGAGGAGAGAAAUAGACGUGUAUCAGCUACAGUUGUACGGAUACUGCAUGUUCAAAGCUCUGUCAAGUCUUCAUAAGCAGGUAAAGCAGAUGUUGGACUAAAACUUUUGAGCAUUCAUAUUUCAAUCACGCAACUAACCAGUUAUAUUGUUUUCUUUUGCAAAUGUGAAGGGUGUUGUUCAUAGGGAUGUUAAGCCAGGCAACUUUCUUUUCUCUAGGAAGAGUAGCAAAGGCUGUCUCAUUGACUUUAACCUCGCCAUGGUUAGCAUUUUUCUGGCACCCUUCUCUUAUUAAUACUUUUCUAGCAACAUUUAUUGGUUAGUGUUUUGUAUAAUAGAAUUUGAGGUUACGAAACCUGUUUAGUGCUCUUAUAUAAUAUUUAGGUCAGUGUCUACUAGAGGCACUGAAAAGCUUGAGCUGAGCUAUCACAAACGUUUGUGUUCAUAGUUUGUGUUAUGUUCCCACCCACUGAUAUUAAUUUCACUUUCCUCUGUGGCUUAAUUUAGGAUUUGCACCAGAAGCACAGGAGAGCCGGUAAACUUCUCCCCUCAUGCAUUUGGGUUGAAUUAAGUAAAACAAAUGGAAACUAAAGCUAUCCCUUAUAUGUAUAUCAGAUAAAUCAAAAGCAGCUACAGAUCUCCCAACCGCCAGCAAGAAGCAUCAUACUUUGAUUAAAUCUCCUGACACGACCAACCGAGUGACCAACAAAUCUUCUCAGAAAACUUUAGCGCCAAAUAGUCUGAAGAAAGCAGCGGGAAAGAUAAGAGCUCAGACUGACAUGAGUAGAUGGGAGAGGUUCAAUAGCCAAGGCGCGGAAGGGUCUGGCUUAACUUCGGCCAAAGAUGUGACCAGCACAAGGAACCACCCUUCAGGUGAAAAGAGGAGAGAGCCUUUGCCAUGUCAUGGAAGGAAAGAGCUUCUAAACUUUCUGCAAGAGACAAUGUCUGGUUCAAUUCCAAACCACGAAGUAUCAUCCAAAGCUCCUACAUCUAUGAGAAAACGUGUUGCUGCUCAUCCAGGGAAAGCUGAGAAACAGCUUCUUCAUCUGACCCCAAUGCCGCUGCGCUCUAAUGGUCGGCGUGAAGCAGGUGGAUUCCUGGUGUAUAAUUUGACUCUUGUUUUUUGUUUCAGAGUUUAACUUUAACCCUAAGAAAAAAAUCUGACUUACUAGGGGAUGUAAGUAAGAAGAAAGAUGGUCCUUGCUCAGGAACGAAAGGCUACCGAGCACCAGAGGUACGUCAACUGUAACUAUCGCUCACUUUGCUUAUAUGGUAGAGAGAGAGAAUGUUAGUGGGUUUAGGCUUCCGAGUUACUAGUAAAUCCAUUUAUAUAUCAUACAAAUCUUAUGCUUUGAGCUACUUAUUAGAACAUUUUAUGAUGGGAAAGCUAAUUCUCUGGGGCGGUUCUUGGCUGAAUUGGCUUGUGCAGGUUUGCUUAAGAUCUUUGCACCAAGGACCUAAGAUCGACGUGUGGUCUGCAGGAGUUACUCUAUUAUAUCUAAUGAUGGGAAAAACACCUUUUACUGGUGACCCUGAACAGUUAAGAUUUGUAAUUGACUUACUUUGCCAUCACUUCAUUGCAUUCUGUUUUCUUUCUUUCCUUCUUACAACGGCCUCUUGAUUCUCAGGAACAUAAAGGACAUUGCGCAGCUACGAGGCAGUGAAGAAUUAUGGGAAGUAGCCAAGCUGCAUAACCGUGAAUCUUCUUUCCCUGAGGUAAUAAUCGCACCUUAUCACCCUUGUAGACUCUUCUUUGCAUCGAUUGCUGCAUUUGUGUGGCAUAAUAUGGCUAUGUACACAUGGUCGGUUCUUAAAUCUAGAGAAAGAGAAGGUUGAUCUGGCUAAUAUCGCAUGCUCUGUUCUCCUUUACCGCCAGCAUUUGGAUUUAAAUAUCAAAUACUGUAAGAGGGUUUUCAGUUAUAGCGCUUUGGGUCCUAUUGCGGAAAACGGGGUAUAUAUUAUUAUAUACAUUACAUGAUCUGAUACGUUGUAUGGAUAGAUGAUAAAAAAGAGAUGAAUUCACGUAGCAAUUUUGUUUUUGCUCCAGGAAUUAUACGAGUCAAGGUACUUGAAGAGGAUGGAGCUGAGAAAAUGGUGCGAAAUCAACACAAAACGCAGAGACUUCCUAGACGUGAUUCCACGGUCGCUGCUUGACCUUGUUGAUAAGUGUUUGACUGUUAACCCAAGGCUACGAAUCGGCGCAGAGGAUGCUCUCAAGCACGACUUCUUUUAUACAAUCCAUGAAAAUGAAACCCUUAGAAAACAAAGGCUCCUAAAGCAGCAGCAAACGGGAACGCAGCCUCCAGUGGUGGCUAAUUCAGUAGGCCAACCGCUAAGCUAGAAAUCACAAAUGUAAAUUAAGUAAUAACAAAAUAUUAUAUGAAAGCUUCACUCCACAGGCCACACCACAAAUCCCAUAGUAGUAUAUGUCUAUAUGACUAGGGAACAUAUCAUAUUUGUUAUUAGAAGCAAGUCUAACUUCACUUGGGCCUUAAAUAAAUUUCGUGUUGGGAAUUGAUAUCAUUCAGUAAAAGUCCAAAAGUCUCUCGUCUGCGAAAUGGAAGAGAGUAAUGUCAAGUUUGUUUCUCACAGACUCACCCUAUGAAUUGCCGUGCAGCGUACGGAUCUUCUUAUUUUCUCUCAAUCUCUUCCUGUGACAGGAUUCUUCAUCACUAAUCUGCAACGAAUACUGGUUCACUUCCAUGGCGUCUUCUUCUUCUCGUUCCUGGAGAUACGAUGUUUUCCCGAGUUUCAGCGGUGAAGUUGUCCGCAAAUCAUUCCUCAGCCAUCUUCUGAAGGAGCUUGACCGCAAAUCAAUCAAUGCAUUUAUAGAUGAUGGGAUCGAGAGAAGCCGCCCGAUCGGCCCUGAGCUUUUAUCGGCGAUUAGAGAAUCGAGGAUCUCAAUCGUCGUCUUCUCAAAGAGUUAUGCUUCUUCCACGUGGUACCUGAAUGAAUUGGUGGAUGGAGAUCCACAAGUGCUAUAUGGAGUUUGACCAAAUGGUGAUUCCACAGCGUUGACCCUUCGGAAGUUCGAAAACAUACCGGAGAAUUUGGAAAGGUGUUUAAAGAGACAUGCGACGGCAAAACGGAGGAUCAGAAGCAAAGGUGGAUGCAAGCUCUCGUAGAUGUAGCAAAUAUGGCCGGAGAGGAUCUUCGGAACUGGUAUAAACUAUAAACCUUGUGUUAUCAUUCCAUAGUUCGUGUCGUGCAUUGACUUCGAUUGUGCUUUUAGGGCAGCUCUUUAAUGUCACAAUUUGUUAUUAGGUGUAACGAAGCCAGCAUGAUUGAAAAGAUAGCCGAUGAUGUUUCGAAUAAACUUAUCACAACAUCGGAUUGUUAUGGCGAUUUGGUGGGGAUUGAAGCUCAUUUAGAAGCAAUGAGCUCAAUAUUGUGCUUGGAAUCCGAGGAAGCUAGAAUGGUAGGGAUUUUGGGGCCUUCUGGGAUUGGUAAGAGUACCAUAGGAAGAGCUCUUUUCAGUCAACUCGCUAGCCAAUUCCAACUUUUGUAACUUAUAAAAGAACCAACCAGGAUGACUACGGCAUGAAGUUGUGUUGGGAAGAAAAUUUUUUAUCAGAGAUUCUUGGUCAAAAGGACUUGCAGAUAUACCAAUUAGGUGCGGUGGAGCAACGGUUAAAACUCAAGAAAGUUCUCAUUGUUCUUGACGAUGUUGAUGAUAUAGAGCUCCUAAAAACCUUGGUUGGGCAAACGGAAUGGUUUGGAUCCGGGAGCAGAAUUAUUGUGAUCACUCAAGAUAGGCAACUUCUUAAGGCUCAUGAGAUUGACCUUAUAUAUGAGGUGAAGUUCCCAUCUCAAGAUUCUGCUCUCAAGAUGUUAUGCCAAUCUGCAUUUCGGCAAAACUCUCCACCUAAUGGUUUAAUGGAAUUGACAGUUGAAGCUGCCAAGCUUGCCGGUAACCUUCCUUUGUGUCUCAGUGUCUUGGGUUCGUCUUUAAGAAGAAAGGACAAAAAAGAGUGGGAGGAGAUGCUGCCUAGACUCCAAAAUGGUUUGGACGGGAAGAUUGAGAAAAUAUUAAGAGUCGGCUACGAUAGAUUAGAUGGCAAAGACCAAGAGUUAUUUCUCUUCAUUGCAUUUGCAGGUUUAUUCAAUGGUUUGCAAGUCAGUUACAUCAGAUUAAAUGAUGUCAUUGAUGUGACAAUCAGUGUCAGUGACAUCAAAUGCUUGCUCGGAGAUGGUGUUACCACUGGGCUUACAGUGUUGACUGAUAAGUCCCUCAUACGUAUAACACCGCACGAAACUAUAGAGAUGCACAAUUCGCUACAGAAGUUGGCUAGAGAAAUUGGUCGUGCAGAGUCUAUAAACAAUCCUGGAAAACGACGAUAUCUGGUGGAUGUUGAGGACAUUUGCGAUGUUUUUACGGAUAAAACCGUAAGUUUUCUCGCAUAUGCUUUUAAUGCUCGGCUUUAUAAAAUUUAAGCGUUAUUUGGUGAUUGAUAGAUAAACUUUUACGAUUGUUCCCACCUGCUUUAUUUGAGCGCGGGGCUCAGAUGUCAUAAGGAGAAAAAAAAAAUCUCGCCUGCCAUAAAUCAUUGUGUAUUGACGUUUUUAGCCUUAAUGAACUGAUUAUAAAAUUAAAUAAAAUCGUUUAUUUUUAAAAAUAAAAAUAAAAGCUGCAAAUAAGCUUCUUCUUCCCCGAGUUAGGUUUCCGUACACAUCCGCCGCCGCCGCAGAGAGCUUGAUUCGAACCACCGUCGUUUGCUGGUGCCGGCUCAUUUUUUUUGUUUAACUACUCUUUCUUAUCCUGCCAUUUGUGUGAGAAGACUUCGAAAAGGUAUGGUGGUGUGUAUUUUGGAGAUUUAUAAAUUAGAGUUUUUUUUUGUUUGUUUGGUGGUCGUUUAACUAUGUACAUUGCCUAAGUUUGUUGUUUAUUGGUUAAGUUCUCUUCGAAUCGAUGUUAAUUUGUCGAUUUUUAGUGUUGAAUCUGUUUGGUAGAUGUGAAACGAGGAUGUGAAACCAAAGAUUUUAGCCAAGAAAGUUUGGGAAUUUAGAUAACUGGUACAAAAGGUAUAAGUAAAAGAUACGGGACAAGUAGUACAAAUGGUAGAACUGAUAAUUAUGGGACAACUAGUACAAGUCUCUGUUAAGACUGAUAAUGUGGGACAACUAGUACAAAUGUUAUAGUGAGAAAUUCGGGACAACUAGUAUAAAAGGUAUAACUGUGAAACGUAAUUGGUAAUAUUAUUUUUUAUUUGCUGCGUAUACCAGGAUAUAAUGAGCAUUGGCCACACCAACAUAAAUUUUGAGUAUGGAGGAUAUUAUUCACGGAACAAACGACCAACAGGUGUAACCCAGGAGUUUAGUUCAGGAACAAACGACCAACAGGUGUAACCCACGAAGAACUGGACAACUGUGUUUUUUUCAUCUAAUCAUGUUUUAGGACAUCUAGACAGCUAUGUACGUAUGUUGUCAUUUUCAUUUUUUUCAUAUGUUUAGAUAUCGGGAAAACUGGACAACUAUUACAACUAUGUUGUAUUUGUGAAGUACAAUUGACGUUUCAUAUGUUUGAAAUUGGGACAACUGGACAACUAGUACAAUUAUGUUGUAUUUGUGAGGUACAAUUGACGAAUCAUAUGUUUGAAAUUGGGACAACUGGACAACUAGUACAACUAUGUUGUAUUUGUGAGGUACAAUUGACGAAUCAUAUGUUUGAAAUUGGGACAACUGGACAACUAGUACAACUAUGUUGUAAUCAUAUGUUUGAAAUUGGGACAACUAGACAACUAGUACAACUAUGUUGUAUUUGUGAUGUACAAUUGACGAAUCAUAUGUUUGAAAUUGGGAUAACUGGACAACUAGUACAACUAUGUUGUAUUUGUGAUGUACAAUUGACGAAUCAUAUGUUUGAAAUUGGGACAACUAGUACAACUAUGUUGUAUUUUUGAUGUACAAGUGACGAAUCAUUUGUUGGAAAUUGGGACAACUGGACAACUAGUACAACUAUGUUGGAUUUGUGAUGUACAAUUGACGUUUCAUAUGUAUGAAAUUGGGGUUUAGUACAAACCCUAGACAACUAUGAAAGACAUCUAAAAUGAGGUUUUAAAGAAGCUUCAGAAAAUGGGAUAACAAAUUAUAAGUUUAGAGUCAUAAUAUUGGUUUGACACUAAACACUCCUUAUAAAACAAGAGAGUCUUCACUAAUACUCAUCACAUGAUGAUGGAUAAAUGCAAAUGUUUGGAUUUAAUCAAAACGGAUUAAUCAGGACUUUUUAAUUGUGGUAUGAAACUUCAAACAAAUAUGAACAACUACAAUAUGUGGUAUAUGGUCAUGGGUCAACUGGAAAUAUUUGAAAAAGCUUAAAGUACAACUCUUACAAAUAUUGGACAACAAUACAAGUACGUACAACUAUAUGAUAACCCUUAUCAUAUUAUAUUUGCACGUGAAGCACAUGUGUUUACUAUGGCGGCAAAAUAAUUAAAUAGUUUUUAAAAUCUCUUUUCUUUAAAUUGUUCUUCCUCAUAUUCUACUGAGAACUUCCUCCUUUUUUAGGGUUUCAGCCGCAGAGCAAUUUCACAAGAUUAAGAUAAUGUCGAAGAAGAAAUCUUCCUAAAAAAGACUGCCUUUCCGCCGAAGGAUUACGGCAUGACCACCAGGUGGGGGCCCGAAGUUAAUGGAGUCCGCACCAUUCUUCCAUGUCCCAUACAGAUGGGAAUUCCCAAGGUUUGCCACCACGGAAUUGCUCCAAUUGGCUGUUUAACCAACCAUUCAGCGUUAGAUAGGGGACGUAGGUACUUUGGUUGUUUUUAUGGUUGCCAUAGUUGAAGAGAUUAAAAUGGUAAAAGAAACUCAAGAGGAGAUGAAGUCUUUGUUUGAUGUCAUUAUCUCGAGAAUUGAAGCUCUUGAGGCUGCUGUGACCAAGAAGAGUUGCUCGAAGGAAGUUUGAAGCUCAAGAUCGUUUGUUGAACCUUGUCCUACAUCGUUGUCUUUGUUUCUUGAACCUUGUUGUCCUUUAUUGUCCUACAUCGUUUAACUAUGUUGUCCUUUAUUGAACUACAUUGUUAUCCUUUACUGAACUACUUUGUUGAACCUUGUUGUCCUUUAUUGUACUAAUUUGUUGAACCUUGUUGUCUUUUAUUGUCCUACAUCGUUUAACUUUGUUGUCCUGUAUUGAACUAUUUUGUUGAACCUUGUUGUCCUUUAUUGUCCUACACCGUUUAACCUUGUUGUUCUUUAUUGUCCUAAAUCCCAAAGAAUUGACCAUUAUUGUCCUAAUAUGUCCCAAAUCCAAACAAAUGUCCAAAUUCGAAUAUCAAACAUAAAAUCCACAACAUAAACUAAACAUCCGCAAACAACAUAACCUGUAACUUAAAAGAAAAACAUAACAUCCAGAAAACAAGAUAAACUGCAACAUCCGACACUUCUACUUCGAUAACAUCCAGUCUUCUGCUCUUGUUCUUCACCCUCCUGCUCUUGUUCUUCAGCCUCAUCCUCUUUUUCAUCAGCCUCCUGCUCUUGUUCUUCGGCCUCCUGCUCUUCUUCUUCAGCCUCAUCAUUUCCCUCCUCUUGUUCAUCAGCCUCUUCAUUUCUCGAAUCUUGUUCAUCACCCUCCUCCUUUCCCUCCUCUUCUUCAUCACCCUCCUCCUUUCCCUCCUCUUCUUCUUCACCCUCCUUUCCCUCCUCUUCUUCUUUGCCCUCCUCCUUUCCAUCGUCUGCUUCAUCACCCUCAGCCUCGUCUUCUUCUUCCAUGGGGUUUAUCGUUUCGGUUUCAUCUUCUGUGGGGAUUUUUUGGGCUGCGGUCUCCUCGAUAGGAUUCGGAGAGGUUUCUUUCUCCAUUUCUGUUUCUGAACUACAAACAUCUUCGCUUGUCUUUGUCGCGGCUUCGGUGGGAAUAGGGUUUACAACGGCUUGAGGAAUAUUUCCUUUCUCUUUAUCGGCGGCUUCAGGAUUUACUUCAGAUUCUCUCGCUGCGGCUUGAGAAUGCGAUUCCGUUUUAGGCAACGUUUUCCGACUUUCAGUUGACUCAUACUCGACGCCUUUUUGUUUCACACGAGUCAUGGAGAAGUCGUAACGAACCGAAGAUGGAGAAAUCGAUUAAAACGGAAGUUGUAGAUGGUGGAGUGGAAAUAAAACGAACGCAAUCGGUUAGCUUCUAUCAACACUCGCCGGAUUUUACGCCGGAAAACUCUCUCAAAUCUUUUUUCGAAUUUCAAUUAACUGUGUGGAGGUUUUUUUCCAAGAACUGAUAAAAUGGUAAAGUAAAUUAGGGUAAAUAAAAAGAAAUGCGAGUCGAAUCCGAUUUUAAUUGGGUAGGUUUUCAAAUGCCCAGAUAUUGUUGUAAUUAACGAGACAUUCAUGUAUAAGGUAAUAAACAACCAUCUUUUUGCUAUUUAAAAAAAAUUAAAAAGGAAUUGAUUAUACGAACGAUGGCAUUGGGGCUCUUUCUUCAGCGAUUUAUGGCAUUUUAGCAUUUGAUUCGCUUUAUUUUAACACUGUUACAAUUGUUUUUUUUUUCCUGUUAACUAACAGUUACAAUUGUUAAGAUAAUAGUUUUCGUGUGAUUUUUUUUUUCAGGGCACAGAAGCUGUAGUAGGAAUAUAUUUCGACACAUUAGAAAUCAAAGAGCCAUUUUCAAUAGAUGAAAAAUCGUUCGAAGGCAUGCGUAAUCUCCAAUUUCUAAUAGUUCGAGGGUCUCCACGGGGUAGAUUGCGUCUACCUCAAGACCUCGUUUAUUUACCCCGUAAACUCAUAUUGCUAAAGUGGGAUGGUUAUCCAUCCAAGUGUUUGCCUUGAACUCAGAAUGGAGAAUAGUUUGCUUGAGAAGCUGUGGGAAGGAAUUCAGGUACUAUAGUUUUAAAUUUAUUUCUAAGUUUCAUACGGUGUUACUAUUAGAACAAAUAACGGUCUUAUUUUUCUAUAUAUAUUGUUGUUAAAAGUUUAUAGAAUAUGUGUUCAAAAUGAUUUUGAACCUGUGCAUUUAUUUUUAUUUUCCUGUUUGUUUUCAGCCACUUGGAAGCCUCAAGCAAUUGAUUAUGAAUUGGUCCACAUAUUUGAGAGAACUUCCAGAUCUCUCUAAGGCCAUAAACCUCGAGAAAGUGUAUCUUGAUGGAUGCAAAUCUUUGGUGACAUUUCCUUCCUCGAUUCAGAAUCUCCUGAAACUGAGAGAUUUACAUUUGGAAAAUUGCACAGAGCUAGAAAGUUUUCCAACUCUUGUCAACUUGAAAUCUCUCGAGUACCUCAAUCUCCGAGGAUGCUCCCGGUUGAGAAAUUUCCCUCAGAUUUAUAUGGACAGUUCACAUGGAAUUAGCAUCGAAGUAAAAGACUGUUUCUGGAACAACAAUCUCCCUGGACCCGAUUAUCUCGGUGGCCUUAUGAGAUGUAUGCCUUGUAAAUAUCGACCAGAACAUCUCGUUCGUCUUACAGUGAAAGGCAACAUGCUUGAGAAGCUAUGGGAAGGCGUCCAGGUACAUUGUUAAUGUUUGAAUGUCAUAUGAUUGAAACAUAACAAAAUGUUUGGUUGUUCUGUUUCAGUCGCUUGGAAGUCUCGUGAGGAUGAAUCUGUCAGGAUCUGUAAACCUGAAUGAAUUUCCAGAUCUUUCAAAGGCCACCAAUCUGGAGCGUUUAGAACUCAACUAUUGCCAUAAUUUGGUGACUGUUCCUUGUACAAUUGAGAAUCUCAAGAAAUUGGUAAAGUUGGAAAUGAAAGGAUGCAUAAGGCUGGAGGCUCUUCCAACCGAUGUCAACUUGUCAUCUCUCGAAACCCUCGAUCUCAGUUGGUGCUCAAGUUUGACAAGUUUUCCUCAAAUUUCAUGGAGUGUGAAAAAACUCUAUCUAAAUGACACUGCCAUUGAACAAGUUCCCUGCUGUAUAGAGAAAUUCUGGAGGCUCCUUGAACUAACGAUGUGUCGUUGCAAGAGGUUGAAAAACAUCUCCCCAAACAUUUUCAGUCUGAGCCGUCUUGUGAAGGCAGACUUUUCAGACUGUGAAGGAGUAGAGACGGCAUUGAGUGAUGCAACUCCAGUGGCAACAAUGUCAACGGAGGAUCAAAUUCCUUCUAUACCAUUACACACAAAUGCCUAUAGAAGGGAAUAUUUUGAGUUCAAUAAUUGCUUCAAAUUGGAUAGAAAUGCGCGGGCACUCAUCCUACGAUCAUACGUGGCGCCUACAGUCUUACCAGGUGAAGAAGUGCCUGCGUAUUUCACGGAACAAGCUUCUGGAACUACCGUAGCUGUCAAGUUACCUCAGAGCUUUCUUUCUCAAGAACACCUCGCAAUUAAGGCUUGCGUCGUGGUCGGCAAGGGUUCGCAUUCAUACUUAGGGUUACGCUGGCACUUCAGAGGCGAAGAGCAUUGGGACACAAUAUUUGAAAAUCUGCCGGGGUCUUUUAAGAGGGAUCAUCUGGUUUUGCUUUCCUUCAAGUUCCGGCCUUCACUUCGUUUGGGUUUGAGUGACUUGAGUCCAACUAAUUUUCACUUCGACGAUGUUGAGUUUGAGUCUUCCACCAUCAACCCAUCCUCUGGCACCUUCUCACCGUCGGUCCAGAGGAUAACAGGAUGUGGUAUAAGAUUCUUGAAUCGGUCUACUACACGUCGUCGUCUAUCUAAAUUGGACUACUACUACAACGAUGUUGUCUCUGAGUUCUUCUUCAACCGAACAUUAAGAGAGGAUGCUGAGUACUUCUCUGGAAGAUGAAUCUGAUGAUGGAAGCUCUGGAACAGAGUACAACCAAAAAUCUAUACAAAGUUGUUAUCAAGAAAACAAUCUGUACAAAAUGUGAUGUUGUAGGGAUUGUGAGAAGAAAGAACGGAUGCGGGUAAAGCUUUUUGAACUCAAAAUUAUAAGGGUAUCUCUUGAUCUUUUUUUUCAGGAUCAAUAUCAUAGGUCCAUAGGGAUGAACUAUUUAAUAGACUAGAUCGUUUGGUUUUAUUAUGUAGAUUACAUUAAAAGAAUACAUGUGGGAUGUGGCGAUAAAGUAGCGGACACAGGUAUUGACGCCUCCAAAUAUAGAAUUUCUUCUACAAGUAAGAUACCGUUAGUUUCUUCUAGCAACUUUCAUGUCCAUGGAGCAUCCCUGUAUCUAUCCCUUUCUCCUUCUAUUCCAUGUCUGGAGGGGCAAGUUUUGUCUGUUGAUCCCCGAGAUAACUGAACAACUAGAUAUAUACAGAAACACUCACCGUGGAUCCUUUGUCGCACCCAGAGCUUACCAACUUUUUUUUACGGUAAGUGAAACAUCUUACAGUUCUGUUUUGUUCUAUAACAUCUUGCGAAUUGCGAUCGACCGUGGCUAUGCUGAUCUUGCCAAGACGUUUUCGUAGUUUUUUACGCAAUCCAUUUUUCCCUGCAGGUGAUGGUGAACUUCUCGAGAACCAGAACCUGUUUACGCACUCUAUUCUUACUUCUUUGUGUUACUGUUUCCCUCUUUGAGAAUUUCGCUUUUCAUGAAAGAAUAAACAUCUUUCAAAUAGCCACAAUUCAGCACAUUCUGGAAAAUUUUCUUUAGCAGGUUUUGUUUUGUACCAUAAAUCUAUCGGUUUUUAGUUGGAAAUUCGUUGAAUUUGUGAGCUUGGGUUUUACAUACUUGACUCGGGUAGUUUUUCUUUCCUUCUAACAAAGCAAUGAAUAAAUCAGGAUUUGGCCAAACUAAAAAUGUAUAAAAAAAAAUUCACUAGUUCUAAAUGGCAAGACCCUCUUCAUCAUCAGCAACAUUUGGAUCGCUGUUUCCAUGACGUUUCCUACACUCGCAGUAAAAAACAGUGACUACAACAUAACUCAGCACCACCUCAGCACCAUACAUACAAAUCAACUUCCACCCGUCUAAGCCACCGCUCACCACCACCGACCUCCACCACGACCCUGAGCUCGAGUCUACAUCUAGCUCCUUGGCCAGCUUCUCCAUCCCAUGACCAAUGAAACUCGAAAGAAACACAAAUACACCCGCCAAAGCCAAUCCAGUUAUCCUCCUCCCUUUCAUCAGAGAAUUUCCUUCCUUAAUCGCAUCAAAACCGUAUCUUUCUUCUAUCACAGAGACGACAAGGCCAAGCCCUGUUAUAGCCAUUAUGUAUACCUCAACGCCGAGACUGAGAACCGUGAUGAGGUAACGCAAUGUGGGUGUAUAACCCAAGAGAGCUGAUAGAAACAUGGGAAUCGGAGAGUAGAGGAAGAGCAGACCAUAGACAACAAUGGAAGUUGCAGUUACUCGCAUCCACGAGGACUUCACUGAUGCAAACGAUGACUUCAGAGACGUGUUUAGGCCGUUGUGUGAGAAGGAAGUUGAUGUGAUGACGGUUAUGGAUGCGAUACAGGAGAGGAUGAAGGACGGGACGAAAUAUCUGGAUUUGAGGUGUAGAAGCGAGACAGCGUCUUCUCUAGACUCUUGCCAGAUCUGUCUAGCUUCGAACCUUGUGUGCACGACGUUGGCCAGGGCUUCUAGACGGAAGACAUGGUUUUUAAGACGAAAGGAGGAGAGAGUUAGGGAGAGGUGUAAGGCUGCGAGAGGGAUUGCUACAAAGGCAAAGACUGGGAAUAAUAUGUGUUUGUUUCUCAAGAGAAUCAUGAAGGAGUCUAGGAGUGUUGUGGUGAUCCGCGUGGAAGAACCAGGUCGCUUUACUUCAAUCAUGAUAUCAAAAGGCACAUAGAAGCCUGCUGCUUAAAGCUUCAACCAAUGUUGGGACAACUCGAAACAGAGUAGAUACACUAUGCUUCUAGAGAAUGUCUUGUAUGAGGCCUGUGUAAACAAGAAAGCACAAAGCUUUUAGCAACUCAGAGAAUCAAUACAAGACUAAGUGCAUUGCAAAACCACAGUUUUCUCAGCAAAAAGAAUCACACUUAUCAGGUGGAAAUCACAGUUCCAUAUGAAAGAAUGACACUUUUAGCGAUUAUUCUAAUGACACUUAAACAAGGUUUGGUUCAAACAACAACUCCAGAGAUCAUACAUAGUUGACCGAAAUGUUAAGACUUUUUCUACACACCCCGGAGUUUUCGGAGUUCCAACAAGUUCGAGUUCAUUGAAGAAUAUAAACCAUAAUAUGAGUACGAAUUGAUGCUAUGUCGUCAAAUUAGAUCAAAUUCUGUGAUCUUGUGGACCAAACGUGUAUGAAGAAAUCAAACAAUCGACCGAGAUCAACUAGAAAUAACGAAUCCAGAACUAGAUUCUAUUUCCCAAACAACAGUCUCUAGAAAAAGGGUGAAUUUCGAUUCCCGAUCUAAAACUUGACGACUAAAUCCCAACUUUUAACAUUAGAACGGAAACAAUUAGGUUUAAUCCAAUCUUUUUUGCUUGAUUACGGUCUAUCUGAGAUCGAGACAAACCUGAAAGAUGCGAAAACACCGAUUGGUGUAAGAGGAAAUCCGAAGAAGUAUUGCUUGGAAGGAGAAUUCAUUGAUUUGAGAGACAGAACAAGUCAAUAAGCUUUGGGUUUUAAAGUUUAACCACUGUUUUAUAACUCAGUAAUUCUGUCCUUUGCGAAAAAAAAAGAAAAAAAAAACUCAGUAAUUCUGUCCUGAUUUGGGACAAUUUUGGAUGCCAAUUGCUUUUAUAAUGUUUUCGACCAAUAGAGUUACUUUACU
rnacentral:lncRNA from 1 species